UUGAACCCCGGUCGUGCUAGGGAUAGGGAAUUGCAAUUAUUUCCCUUGAACGAGGAAUUCCCAGUAAGCGCGAGUCAUUAGCUCGCGUUGAUUACGUCCCUGCCCUUUGUACACACCGCCCGUCGCUACUACCGAUUGAAUGGUUUAGUGAGGUCCUCCGAUUGGACCCGGUCCGGGCGGCGACGUCCGAGCCGGCGUCCGAGAAGACGAUCUAACUUGAUCAUUUAGAGGAAGUAAAAGUCGUAACAAGGUUUCCGUAGGUGAACCUGCGGAAGGAUCAUUA
rnacentral:ncRNA from 1 species